rnacentral:misc_RNA from 1 species
GAUGAAGAACGUAGUGAAAUGCGAUAAGUAAUGUGAAUUGCAGAAUUCAGUGAAUCAUCGAAUCUUUGAACGCACAUUGCGCCCGCCAGUAUUCUGGCGGGCAUGCCUGUUCGAGCGUCAUUUCAACCAUCAAGCCCCAGGCUUGUGUUGGGGACCUGCGGCUGCCGCAGGCCCUGAAAACCAGUGGCGGGCUCGCUGUCACACCGGGCGUAGUAGAUUUUAUCUCGCUCAGGGCGUGCUGCGGGUUCCGGCCGUUAAAAAGCCUUUUUUACCCAAGGUUGACCUCGGAUCAGGUAGGAAGACCCGCUGAACUUAAGCAUAUCAAAACGGAGGA